AUGGCUCAGGAUGAACGCUAGCGGCAGACUUAACACAUGCAAGUCGAGGGGCAUCGGGAGUAGCAAUACUGCCGGCGACCGGCGCAAGGGUGCGUAACGCGUGAGCAACAUGCCCGUAUCAGGGGGAUAAUCCAUGGAAACGUGGUCUAAUACCCCAUAGUAAUUAUGUAAGGCAUCUUAUAUAAUUUAAAGCUUUGGUGGAUACGGAUUGGCUCGCGUGACAUUAGCUAGAUGGUAAGGUAACGGCUUACCAUGGCUACGAUGUCUAGGGGUUCUGAGAGGAAGGUCCCCCCACACUGGAACUGAGACACGGUCCAGACUCCUACGGGAGGCAGCAGUGAGGAAUAUUGGACAAUGGAUGGAAAUCUGAUCCAGCCAUGCCGCGUGCAGGAAAGACGGCCCUAUGGGUUGUAAACUGCUUUUGUAUGGGAGCAAUAAGGGCUACGCGUAGUCCGAUGAGAGUACCAUACGAAUAAGCACCGGCUAACUCCGUGCCAGCAGCCGC
rnacentral:rRNA from 1 species